rnacentral:rRNA from 1 species
CCUACGGGCGACAGCAGUGGGGAAUAUUGCACAAUGGGGGAAACCCUGAUGCAGCGACGCCGCGUGAGUGAAGAAGUAUUUCGGUACGUCAAGCUCUAUCAGCAGGGAAGAAAAUGACGGUACCUGACUAGUACGCACUGGCUAACUACGUGCCAGGAGCCGCGGUGAUACGUAGGGGGCAAGCGUUAGCCGGAUUUACUGGGUGUAAAGGGAGCGUAGAUGGCAGCGCAAGUCUGGAGUGAAAUCCCAUGGCUUAACCAUGGAACUGCGUUGGAAACUGUGUAGCUAGAGUGCAGUAGAGGAAAGCGGAAUUCCAAGUGUAGCGGUGAAAUGCGUAGAUAUUUGGAGGAACACCAGUGGCGAAGGCGGCUCUCUGGCUUGUAACUGACGCUGAGGCUCGAAAGCGUGGGGAGCAAACAGGAUUAGAUACCCGAGUAGUC